rnacentral:tRNA from 2 species
GGGCCCGUAGCUCAACGGCGGAGCAAUCCCAUGGCAUGGGAUAGGUUGUCGGUUCAAAUCCGAUCGGGUCCA